rnacentral:snRNA from 1 species
AGCUUUGAACAGUGGUAGUAUCUUGGCCAAUGAGGUUUAUCCGAGGUACGAUUAUUGCUAAUUGCACUAUCCCUCCGGCUUCUGACAAUGAAUUUUCAACAUGAACAAGGUUGUU